UACGCACGCUGGCGGCGUGCUUAACACAUGCAAGUCGAACGGAAAGGCCCUGCUUUUGUGGGGUGCUCGAGUGGCGAACGGGUGAGUAACACGUGAGUAACCUGCCCUUGACUUUGGGAUAACUUCAGGAAACUGGGGCUAAUACCGGAUAGGAGCUCCUGCUGCAUGGUGGGGGUUGGAAAGUUUCGGCGGUUGGGGAUGGACUCGCGGCUUAUCAGCUUGUUGGUGGGGUAGUGGCUUACCAAGGCUUUGACGGGUAGCCGGCCUGAGAGGGUGACCGGCCACAUUGGGACUGAGAUACGGCCCAGACUCCUACGGGAGGCAGCAGUGGGGAAUAUUGCACAAUGGGCGGAAGCCUGAUGCAGCAACGCCGCGUGCGGUAUGACGGCCUUCGGGUUGUAAACCGCUUUCGCCUGUGACGAAGCGUGAGUGACGGUAAUGGGUAAAGAAGCACCGGCUAACUACGUG
rnacentral:rRNA from 1 species